rnacentral:rRNA from 1 species
CCCUUAGAUGUCCUGGGCCGCACGCGCGUUACACUGAUGCAUUCAACGAGCUUAUAACCUUGGCCGAGAGGCCUGGGCAAUCUUGUUAACGUGCAUCGUGAUAGGGAUAGAUUAUUGAAAUUAUUAAUCUUGAACGAGGAAUUCCUAGUAAACGCAGAUCAUCAAUCUGCAUUGAUUACGUCCCUGUCCUUUGUACACACCGCCCGUCGCACCUACCGAUUGGAUGGUCCGGUGAAGCCUCGGGAUUGUGGUUCUUGCCGCUUUAUUGUGGCGUGACCGCGAGAACUUGUCUAAACCUUAUCAUCUAGAGGAAGGUGAAGUCGUAACA